rnacentral:rRNA from 1 species
GAGUGGGGGGCCUUCGGGAGGCAGCAGUGGGGAAUAUUGCACAAUGGGCGAAAGCCUGAUGCAGCGACGCCGCGUGAGGGAUGACGGCCUUCGGGUUGUAAACCUCUUUCAGUAGGGAAGAAGCGAAAGUGACGGUACCUGCAGAAGAAGCGCCGGCUAACUACGUGCCAGCAGCCGCGGUAAUACGUAGGGCGCAAGCGUUAUCCGGAAUUAUUGGGCGUAAAGAGCUCGUAGGCGGUUUGUCGCGUCUGCCGUGAAAGUCCGGGGCUCAACUCCGGAUCUGCGGUGGGUACGGGCAGACUAGAGUGAUGUAGGGGAGACUGGAAUUCCUGGUGUAGCGGUGAAAUGCGCAGAUAUCAGGAGGAACACCGAUGGCGAAGGCAGGUCUCUGGGCAUUAACUGACGCUGAGGAGCGAAAGCAUGGGGAGCGAACAGGAUUAGAUACCCUGGUAGUCCAUGCCGUAAACGUUGGGCACUAGGUGUGGGGGACAUUCCACGUUUUCCGCGCCGUAGCUAACGCAUUAAGUGCCCCUGCCGGCU